AUCNGGCUACCAUGCAGUCGAGGGGCAGCAUUUCAGUUUGCUUGCAAACUGGAGAUGGCGACCGGCGCACGGGUGAGUAACACGUAUCCAACCUGCCGAUAACUCGGGGAUAGCCUUUCGAAAGAAAGAUUAAUACCCGAUGGUAUAAUCAGACCGCAUGGUCUNAUUAUUAAAGAAUUUCGGUUAUCGAUGGGGAUGCGUUCCAUUAGGCAGUUGGUGAGGUAACGGCUCACCAAACCUUCGAUGGAUAGGGGUUCUGAGAGGAAGGUCCCCCACAUUGGAACUGAGACACGGUCCAAACUCCUACGGGAGGCAGCAGUGAGGAAUAUUGGUCAAUGGGCGCAGGCCUGAACCAGCCAAGUAGCGUGAAGGAUGACUGCCCUAUGGGUUGUAAACUUCUUUUAUAUGGGAAUAAAGUUUUCCACGUGUGGAAUUUUGUAUGUACCAUAUGAAUAAGGAUCGGCUAACUCCGUGCCAGCAGCCGCGGUAAUACGGAGGAUCCGAGCGUUAUCCGGAUUUAUUGGGUUUAAAGGGAGCGUAGGUGGACAGUUAAGUCAGUUGUGAAAGUUUGCGGCUCAACCGUAAAAUUGCAGUUGAUACUGGCUGUCUAGAGUACAGUAGAGGUGGGCGGAAUUCGUGGUGUAGCGGUGAAAUGCUUAGAUAUCACGAAGAACUCCGAUUGCGAAGGCAGCUCACUGGACUGCAACUGACACUGAUGCUCGAAAGUGUGGGUAUCAAACAGGAUUAGAUACCCUGGUAGUCCACACAGUAAACGAUGAAUACUCGCUGUUUGCGAUAUACAGUAAGCGGCCAAGCGAAAGCAUUUAAGUAUUCCACCUGGGGAGUACGCCGGCAACGGUGAAACUCAAAGGAAUUGACGGGGCCCCGCACAAGCGGAGGAACAUGUGGUUUAAUUCGAUGAUACGCGAGGAACCUUACCCGGGCUUAAAUUGCAUUUGAAUANUNUGGAAACAGGUUAGCCGCAAGGCAAAUGUGAAGGUGCUGCAUGGUUGUCGUCAGCUCGUGCCGUGAGGUGUCGGCUUAAGUGCCAUAACGAGCGCAACCCUUAUCUUUAGUUACUAACAGGUCAUGCUGAGGACUCUAGAGAGACUGCCGUCGUAAGAUGUGAGGAAGGUGGGGAUGACGUCAAAUCAGCACGGCCCUUACGUCCGGGGCUACACACGUGUUACAAUGGGGGGUACAGAAGGCAGCUACCUGGUGACAGGAUGCUAAUCCCAAAAGCCUCUCUCAGUUCGGAUCGAAGUCUGCAACCCGACUUCGUGAAGCUGGAUUCGCUAGUAAUCGCGCAUCAGCCAUGGCGCGGUGAAUACGUUCCCGGGCCUUGUACACACCGCCCGUCAAGCCAUGAAAGCCGGGGGUACCUGAAGUACGUAACCGCAAGGAGCUCCUAGGAAUG
rnacentral:rRNA from 1 species